rnacentral:lncRNA from 1 species
GGUUAAUGUGAGAAGCGAGUGAGAUAACGUGUGCAAACGCGCUUUGAGAAAUCCUACACAACAGCCAGGAAUUAUUAUUAUUACUGGAAAUGAUUAGUGGCAGUCGUGGUUUCAUCGCCCUCCUAAGAGAUGGUGCCUGGAGCCCAGAGGAUCCUGGGAAAUGUCUGACCCAAGGCAAAGUUGAUCCAGAUGGGGCCUUGAGUUGUGUGCAGAGCUGUAUGAUGAGAAGACCGGAGGAAGGAAAAGAGGAGCAGAGUGGAGGAACCCCGCAUUUUAGAGCUGGAGGGGAGUCCACAGAUCCUGCACAAUGCCCCAAGAAAUGGAGACUCAGAGGUCCCACAAAUAAGCACUGGCCUGAGGAAAGAAAUGAGCUACCCAGUGUGAAGGUCCACAGCAAAUAAAGGAAAAGAA